AAAUUGAAGAGUUUGAUCAUGGCUCAGAUUGAACGCUGGCGGCAGGCCUAACACAUGCAAGUCGAACGGUAACAGGAAGCAGCUUGCUGUUUCGCUGACGAGUGGCGGACGGGUGAGUAAUGUCUGGGAAACUGCCUGAUGGAGGGGGAUAACUACUGGAAACGGUGGCUAAUACCGCAUAACGUCGCAAGACCAAAGAGGGGGACCUUCGGGCCUCUUGCCAUCAGAUGUGCCCAGAU
rnacentral:rRNA from 4 species